rnacentral:rRNA from 1 species
GACGAACGCUGGCGGCAUGCCUAACACAUGCAAGUCGAACGAGACCUUCGGGUCUUGUGGCGCACGGGUGCGUAACGCGUGGGAACCUACCCUUAGGUUCGGAAUAACUCCCCGAAAGAGGAGCUCAUAACGGAUAAUGUAUUCGGACCAAAGAUUUAGCGCCGUGGGGUGGGCCCGCGUCGGAUUAGCUAGUUGGUAGGGUACAGGCGUACCAAGGCGAUGAUCUGUAGCUGGUCUGAGAGGAUGACCGGGCACACUGGGACGGGGAUACGGCCCAGACUCCUACGGGAGGAAGCAGUGGGGCAGAUUGGACAAUGGGCGCAAGCGUGAUGCAGCAACGCCGCGUGCGGGAUGACGGCGUUCGGGUUGUAAACCGCUUUCGCGUGUAACGAAGCGUGAGUGACGGUAAUGGGUAAAGAAGCACCGGCUAACUACGU